GGAUUUAGCUCAGUGGCAUAAGCGCCUGCCUUGCAAGCAGGCAGUCAUGAGUUCGAUCCUCGGUACCA
rnacentral:tRNA from 1 species